UAGUAGAGUCUGGCAGAUUCUCGGGUCCUC
rnacentral:piRNA from 1 species